rnacentral:rRNA from 1 species
UACGAAGGGGGCUAGCGUUGUCCGGAUUUAUUGGGCGUAAAGAGCGUGUAGGCGGCCAGGGAGGUCCGUUGUGAAAACUCGAGGCUCAACCUCGAGACGCCGAUGGAAACCCCCUGGCUAGAGUCCGGAAGAGGAGAAUGGAAUUCCUGGUGUAGCGGUGAAAUGCGCAGAUAUCAGGAAGAACACCCGUGGCUAAGGCGGUUCUCUAGUACAGUACUGACGCUGAGACGCGAAAGCGUGGGGAGCGAACAGG